UACGUAGGGGGCAGCGUGUCGGAUUUAUUUGGGCGUAAAGAGCGUGUAGGCGGUUUGGUAGGUCCGCUGUGAAAACUCGAGGCUCAACCUCGAGACGCCGAUGGAAACCAUCUGGCUAGAGUCCGGAAGAGGAGAGUGGAAUUCCUGGUGUAGCGGUGAAAAUGCGCAGAUAUCAGGAAGAACACCCGUGGCUAAGGCGGCUCUCUAGUACGGUACUGACGCUG
rnacentral:rRNA from 1 species